CAAUAGCAUAUAUUAACGUUGUUGCAGUUGAAAAGCUAGUAGUUGAACUUUUGGUAGGAGCGACCUGGCCUUGGGCGCAUGCCCUUGUUUGCCGUGUGUCGUAUCUGGCCAUCCUUUUCUUCGGUUUCGGAGGAAUCUUUUACUGUGAGUAAACUGGAGUGCUCAAAACAAGACGUUUGUUUGGUACAUUAAAGCAUGGAAUAAUAAGAUAGGACCUGGUUACUAUUUUGUUGGUUUGCAUAGCUAGGUAAUGAUUAACAGGGACAGUUGGGGGUAUUCGUAUUUAAUUGUCAGAGGUGAAAUUCUUGGAUUUAUGAAAGACGAACGACUGCGAAAGCAUAUACCAAGGAUGUUUUCAUUAA
rnacentral:rRNA from 1 species